AGUAUCCAAGCACCCGACAAGCUGCUCAGCGGUAGCGGCGAAGGGAGAGGGUCUGGUUGCGCUUCCAGGUGGCUCUCCUGGAGGGCCUGUUCUUGUGGUGGGUGUGGCCCUUGCCACGUAGGCCACGGAACUUCUUGCCUGCAGAGGUGAGGCCACGAAGCUCACGGUGCUUGUGGACAGGGUUGCAUAGCCAGUUGAUCCUUGGAUCGGUUUUGAUGGCUGUGUGGGCAACAUCAACAAGG
rnacentral:lncRNA from 1 species